CCUACGGGAGGCAGCAGUGAGGAAUAUUGGUCAAUGGCCGAGAGGCUGAACCAGCCAAGUCGCGUGAGGGAAGACGGCCCUACGGGUUGUAAACCUCUUUUGUCGGGGAGCAAAGCGAGUCACGUGUGACUCAUUGAGAGUACCCGAAGGAAAAGCAUCGGCUAACUCCGUGCCAGCAGCCGCGGUAAUACGGAGGAUGCGAGCGUUAUCCGGAUUUAUUGGGUUUAAAGGGUGCGCAGGCGGAGGUGCAAGUCAGCGGUCAAAUUGCGGGGCUCAACCCCGUACUGCCGUUGAAACUGCAUCCCUUGAGUGCGCGAGAAGUAUGCGGAAUGCGUGGUGUAGCGGUGAAAUGCUUAGAUAUCAUGAAGAACUCCGAUCGCGAAGGCAAGUGUCCGGGGUGCAACUGACGCUGAGGCUCGAAAGUGCGGGUAUCAAACAGGAUUAGAUACCCCAGUAGU
rnacentral:rRNA from 1 species